CCUACGGGAGGCAGCAGUGAGGAAUCUUGGUCAAUGGACGAGAGUCUGAACCAGCCAAGUAGCGUGAAGGAUGACUGCCCUCUGGGUUGUAAACUUCUUUUAUAUGGGAGUAAAACAGGGUAUGCAUACCCUCUUGUAUGUACCAUAUGAAUAAGGAUAGGCUAACUCCGUGCCAGCAGCCGCGGUAAUACGGAGGAUCCGAGCGUUAUCCGGAUUUAUUGGGUUGAAAGGGAGCGUAGGUGGAUUGUUAAGUCAGGUGUGAAAGUUGGCGGCUCAACCGUAGAAUUGCAGUUGAAACUGGCAGUCUUGAGUACAGUAGAGGGGGGCGGAAUUCGGGGUGGAGCGGUGAAAUGCGUAGAUAUAACGAAGAACUCCGAUGGCGAAGGCAGCUCACUGGACUGCAACUGACACUGAUGCUCGAAAGUGUGGGUAUCAAACAGGAUUAGAUACCCUAGUAGUC
rnacentral:rRNA from 1 species